AGCCACUCCAGGUGGGGUGGGGAGUAGCAGAGGAAGGGCAUCCCAUUGGGUGGCUGAGGAACCAUGUGAAUGUGUGGCCAGGAGCUGAUCCUGGAGAGGCAGGCAGGGUCCACAUGCCAGAGGGCACCAGAACUAUGCUGGGCAGCAGCAGUUCUGCCCUGGAGGCCCCCGGGAACCACCAGAGUCUUAAGCAGGAGAGCGCUAAGACCUGGGGCCGGGGCUGCUCUCUGACUCCAGGGCUCUGUGGAGGAUGGAUUUGAAUGCGGCGGCUUGAGGUCAGGUGACCAUGACGUGGCCAGUAGGCCCCAAGUGAGCUGUGGGGAGGCCUGACGGGCAGUAUGGUGGAGAUGGAGUGGAGGCGCAGACAUAGGAGAGAGAGGUGUAUUACCUACGGUGACAACAGAGGGAAGACUGUUGGCGACAGGUGAGGGCUCUCUGAAGGCUUCACUGAAGGAGUGACAGAGCCAGACACAGGAGGUGCUCUGCGACCACUUCUAUAAAACCUAAAAAAGGAGAUUGCUCUGAUGGCAACAGGUGUGGGGGACCAGUAUCCCAUCCCAUUGGCCCUGCCCUCCCACCUGUAAAGCUGAAUACGGUUGGGAAAUCAUUGCCAUAUGCAGAAGGGGUCACUGAGGGGUUUUAAACAACAGUGACAUGCUCAGUUCUCUGGGUUGAGGCAUCAUCACCCUGGUGGCCAUGUGGCGGAUGGACUGGAAAAGGCAUUCAGUUAGAAGACCUCUGCAGGAGUCCAAGGAAGAAACAGGCAAAUCUGCAGGAGGCAGAUUGCGGCCUUCUUCGCUGAGUCUCUGCCCAGUGUGGGAGGGCAGAUCAUUCCCCCUGCUGGCUACUUCUCCCAAGUGGCAGACUCCAGGGAAAAGACUUCGUCCCUGACAUCGUCACCAUGGGCAAGUCCAUUGGCAAUGGCCACCCUGUUGCCUGCGUGGCCGCAACCCAGCCUGUGGCGAGGGCAUUUGAAGCCACCGGCGUUGAGUACUUCAACACGUUUGGGGGCAGCCCAGUGUCCUGCGCUGUGGGGCUGGCCGUCCUGAAUGUCUUGGAGAAGGAGCAGCUCCAGGAUCAUGCCACCAGUGUAGGCAGCUUCCUGAUGGAGCUCCUCGGGCAGCAAAAAAUCAAACAUCCCAUCGUCGGGGAUGUCAG
rnacentral:lncRNA from 1 species